rnacentral:rRNA from 1 species
UACCCGCUGAACUUAAGCAUAUCAAUAAGCGGAGGAAAAGAAACCAACAGGGAUUGCCCUAGUAACGGCGAGUGAAGCGGCAACAGCUCAAAUUUGAAAUCUGGCCUCGGCCCGAGUUGUAAUUUGCAGAGGAUGUUUCUGGCGCGGUGCCUUCCGAGUUCCCUGGAACGGGACGCCACAGAGGGUGAGAGCCCCGUAUGGUUGGACACCAAGCCUGUGUGAAACUCCUUCGACGAGUCGAGUAGUUUGGGAAUGCUGCUCUAAAUGGGAGGUAAAUCUCUUCUAAAGCUAAAUACCGGCCAGAGACCGAUAGCGCACAAGUAGAGUGAUCGAAAGAUGAAAAGCACCUUGAAAAGGGGGUUAAACAGUACGUGAAAUUGUUGAAAGGGAAGCGCUCAUGACCAGACUUGUGCCGGGCGGUUCAUCCGGGGUUCUCCCCGGUGCACUCCGCCCGGCUCAGGCCAGCAUCGGUUCUCGUUGGGGGAUAAGAACGGUAGGAACGUGGCCCUCCCUCGGGAGGGUGUUAUAGCCUGCCGUACGAUACCCUGAUGGGGACCGAGGUUCGCGCUCCGCAAGGAUGCUGGCGUAAUGGUCAUCAGCGACCCGUCUUGAAACACGGACCAAGGAGUCGUCCAUUAGAGCGAGCGUUUGGGUGUAAAACCCGCACGCGUAAUGAAAGUGAAAUUAGGUGAGAGCUUCGGCGCAUCAUCGACCGAUCCUGAUGUUCUCGGAUGGAUUUGAGUAAGAGUUUUAACGGACGGACCCGAAAGACAGUGAACUAUGCUUGUAUAGGGUGAAGCCAGAGGAAACUCUGGUGGAGGCUCGCAGCGGUUCUGACGUGCAAAUCGAUCGUCAAAUAUGAGCAUGGGGGCGAAAGACUAAUCGAACUGUCUAGUAGCUGGUUACCGCCGA